rnacentral:rRNA from 1 species
AGUCCGAUAGAAAACAAGUACCGUGAGGGAAAAUUGAAAAGAACUUUGAAGAGAGAGUUCAAGAGUACGUGAAACCGUCUAGCGGUAAAGAGAGGGGUUCUCGAAGUUUCUGAGGGGGACUCAACCUUGGUGGUGCUUGGCCUAGAUGUAUUUGAUCAGCAAUGACUUUUCGUCUAGUCCCGAGUACCUCCCGGACGCACUUUCUCCUCAGUUUACGGCAGGAACCAUUAGGAGCGGACUGAAGGCUCAGGGUGAAGUUGUUGGUUAUGCUGGCAGCCCUUGAUGUCCUAGCUUCGCACCUGAUGGGUAUGUAAGUAAACUCGUAUAGCGAGCAAUUCACUAUUGCGGUUUGCAUCUCUCUGCCGAGUAGGUCGGUGGCCCCUCUCACCCGUCUUGAAACACGGAC